GGUGAUAAACCGGAGGAAGGUGGGGACGACGUCAAGUCAUCAUGGCCCUUACGAGUAGGGCUACACACGUGCUACAAUGGCGCAUACAGAGGGCGGCCAACUUGCGAAAGUGAGCGAAUCCCAAAAAGUGCGUCGUAGUCCGGAUUGGAGUCUGCAACUCGACUCCAUGAAGUCGGAAUCGCUAGUAAUCGUGGAUCAGAAUGCCACGGUGAAUACGUUCCCGGGCCUUGUACACACCGCCCGUCACACCAUGGGAGUGGGCUGCAAAAGAAGUAGGUAGUUUAACCUUCGGGGGGACGCUUACCACUUUGUGGUUCAUGACUGGGGUGAAGUCGUAACAAGGUAGCGCUAGGGGAACC
rnacentral:rRNA from 1 species